rnacentral:rRNA from 1 species
UGUAUGCUUUUCUAAGAUUAAGCCAUGCAUGCCUAUGAUUAGAACGUGUUUGAAGCAUUGAAUCUGCGAACGGCUCCGCACAAAAGUCGUAAUGAAAGACCGCCCAGUAAAGCAUGGAUCACAGGCGACCUUGCGGACUGUUGGCUCAGUCAGUCGUUGUUGAAGGGCAUUUCUUUUGCGGGAUGCCUGGAUUUUCGAUUGGUAUUGCUGGUUAGGACCGUGAGGCAACGAAUGUCGGAAGUGCUUAUCAUGAUAAAUGGAUAUCCCUGGUAAUUCUAGGGUUAAUACAAGAGGGUUAAUGUAAAAUCCAGAGAGAGGUUAAGCUAAGGCAUUUACUUGCUGGACGCACCUCUCUACGGGUUCCAGAGAACAAAAGUCCACCGGAUCUAAUCAACAUAGGUCAGGAUCACUGCAGCUGCAUACCCGCAAUUGUACACGAAUUUGUAUUCUCUGGCUGGACCGCUUUAUAGCGGCGCCGGGUCAUUGGCCUCUCACCUAUCAACUCCCGAUGAAAGCGCCACGUCCAUUCAUGGUCACUACGGGUACAGAGGAUCAGGGUUCGAUCCUGGAGAGUGGGCCUUAAAAAUUGCUCACACUUCUAAGGAAGGCAGCAGGCGCGUAACGUUCCCAUUGCACAAUGUGCGAGGGCGUGAAAGGAUAUAUCGCAUCCUGCUCAUUUUAGGGUGGGUUAGCGGAAUGAAUCUAAGUUAAACAUAUAGCAAGAGUAACAAUUAGAGGACAAGUCUGGUUAGCAUAUCAGCCAGAUGUCUGAUAGGCUAGCCAGCACCCGCGGUAAUUCCAGCUCUAAUAGCAUACGAUAAAGUUGCUGCAGUUGAAACGCUCGUAGUCGGAGACAAAAAAUAUUAAUAUUCCACGUGUUCAUAGACAACUUGAAGGAGGAUCCCGCGUCCACGGUUCUGGUUAUUUAUGGCUACCCGGUUCCGCCGAGCCAAGCAUAGCCAUCCAGCAACGCAGAGGUGCUUAACCGAUUAGCGUAGGUACCCUGACCUAUCAUAAACUCUGUCAUGCGCGCAAGCGAGUGGCAGGGGGGCGGGGUAGUCGUUGCUCAUACCUUCGUCGUAUGGGGAAGUACGGUAAUCAACAUAGAAGGGAAUCUCUGGAGAGGAACCGUGGCUAUAUCCCUUCGUAUUACCAUGAGAAAAGUAGAGUGAUCCAAGCAGGCAGGUAAUCGACAACCUACGCAUGUGCAUAUUACAGCAUGGUAUAACUCAUGAGAAGGAUCUGGUGAGUGGGCCGCAAGGCCAUUAACACUCAUCUCGGUGGCAUCGUUAACUGGGACAUCGUGCUCCUGGGUCCCUCGCCAGAGGGAGGCGUUGCAGCCAAUCUUUUGAAGUGACGUUGAUCGCAAAAAAAGAGAGUGGGGGUGGAGGGUGUUAAAGCCUGAAUCCCCUGCUCUUGGAGCACUGUGUCAAUUGGUCAACAGGGUUGUUGGGGGGUAGCAGAAUCGCUGGGCGAGGGGUGAAAUCCGUUGACCCUAGCGAGUCUACCAAGUGCGAAAGCAGCUGCCAACGGCACUCCCAUUGAUCAAGAGCGAAAGUUAAGGGUUCGAAAACGAUCAGAUACCGUUGUAGUCUUAACUAUAAAUGUUGCCAUCUAGGGAUGGGGGGACUAGUCCCUCUUGACAUUCCCUGCCCCUUCGUGAAAACAAAGUAUUUGGGUUCCGGGGGGAGUAUGGUCGCAAGAACGAAACUUAAAGGAAUUGACGGAACGGCACACCAGGAGUGGAGCCUGCGGCUUAAUUUGACUCAACACGGGAAAACUCACUAGGUCAAGAUACUUGAAUGAAGGACAAGCUGAUAGACUUUUCCCAAUACAGUAAGUGGUGGUGCAUGGCCGUUCUUAGUUCGUGGAGUGAUUUGUCUGGUCGAUUCCGCUAACGAGCGAGACACAUACGAUCUAAAUAGGAUGUUCCCUUGUAAUCUAACCUGGCCGACUGAUAACCGCACAUCCAAUCUCUAUAGCUAGUGGUGGAAAAUCAAAAAAAGGACAACUGUGGGACCUUACCCACCUUGGAGUCACUAGUUAUGAUAGAUGAGGGGUUUGUGGUGGAGAAUAAAAAAAGGACAACCGUGGGACCUUACCCACCAUAAGCCACUAGGUUAGCCGGUUUCAUUGGAAAUUCUUCUUAGAGGUAUCGGGGCUGAUAAAGCCCCAUAAAAUGUGCAAUAACAGGUCAGUAAUGCCCUUAGAUGUCCUAGGCCGCACGCGCGCUACAAUGUAGUGCGUGAACGAGCACUAGAUUUCAGGUAGUGAGUAAGUAGUUUUCAAUUGCUACCCUCUCUGCUAGCUUCCUAAGCCGACAGGCACUCCAAAAAAUGGGGGCCACCUUCUCGCGUGGGUGUGCUCUCGUUGGGUAAUCUCUCAAAACAAAUACUCGUCUGGGCCUGCUUUUUGUAAUUAUUGGACACCAACGAGGAAUUUCUAGUAGGCAUCGGUCAUCAGCCGGUGCCGACUCUGUCCCUGCCGUUUGUACACACCGCCCGUCGCUGCUACCGAUUGGGUGUUUUGAUUAAGUCUACGGAGCCGUGUGCAUGCUGACUCGCAAGGGUUAACAAGCUAUCCGUCGCGAAGUAGAACCUAUCAAAG